rnacentral:rRNA from 1 species
CCUACGGGAGACAGCAGUGGGGAAUAUUGCACAAUGGGGGAAACCCUGAUGCAGCGACGCCGCGUGAGUGAAGAAGUCUUUCGGUAUGUAAAGCUCUAUCAGCAGGGAAGAAGCAAGACGGUACCUGACUAAGAAGCCCCGGCUAACUACGUGCCAGCAGCCGCGGUAAUACGUAGGGGGCAAGCGGUAUCCGGAUUUACUGGGUGUAAAGGGAUCGUAGACGGUAUGGAAAUGCUGAAGUGAAAGCCCAGGUCUUAAACCUGGGAGUGCUGUGGAAACUGUUAGACUAGAGUGCUGGAGAGGUAAGUGGAAUUCCUAGGGUAGCGGUGAAAUGCGUAGAUAGUAGGAGGAACACCAGGGGCGAAGGCGGCUUACUGGACAGUAACUGACGUUGAGGCUAGAAAGCGUGGGGAGCAAACAGGAUUAGAUACCCCUGUAGUC